rnacentral:rRNA from 1 species
GGUGAACGCUGGCGGCGUGCUUAAGACAUGCAAGUCGAACGCAGUCUUCGGACUGAGUGGCGCACGGGUGAGUAACACGUAACUGACCUACCCCCAAGUCGCGGAUAACUGGCCAAAAGGUCAGCUAAUACGUGAUGUGAUGUCCCCUUUCUGGGGGGCCAUUAAAGGUUUACUGCUUGGGGAUGGGGUUGCGUUCCAUCAGCUAGUUGGCGGGGUAAAGGCCCACCAAGGCAACGACGGAUAGCCGGCCUGAGAGGGUGGCCGGCCACAGGGGCACUGAGACGCGGGUCCCACUCCUACGGGAGGCAGCAGUUAGGAAUCUUUCACAAUGGGCGAAAGCCUGAUGGAGCGACGCCGCGUGAGGGAUGAAGGUUCUCGGAUCGUAAACCUCUGAAUCAGGGACGAAAGACGCGUAAGCGGGAUGACGGUACCUGAGUAAUAGCACCGGCUAACUCCGUGCCAGCAGCCGCCGUAA